rfam:Candidatus Staskawiczbacteria bacterium RIFCSPLOWO2_01_FTLL_38_12b rifcsplowo2_01_scaffold_8441, whole genome shotgun sequence.
GCGGUCGUGGUGUAGUAGCAGCACAACGCUCUGUGGCAGCGUUAGCGGGAGUGCAAUUCUCCUCGAUCGCC